GAUGGUGCUGGGUCAUUAAGGUUGGGCUGUUGGUGCUGGGUCAUUAAGGUUGGGUUGAUGGUGCUGGGUCAUUAAGGUUGGGUUGAUGGUGCUGGGUCAUUAAGGUUGGGCUGUUGGUGCUGGGUCAUUAAGGUUGGGUUGAUGGUGCUGGGUCAUUAAGGUUGGGUUGAUGGUGCUGGGUCAUUAAGGUUGGGCUGUUGGUGCUGGGUCAUUAAGGUUGGGUUGAUGGUGCUGGGUCAUUAAGGUUGGGUUGUUGGUGCUGGGUCAUUAAGGUUGGGUUGUUGGUGCUGGAUCAUUAAGGUUGGGUUGUUGGUGCUGGGUCAUUAAGGUUGGGUCAUUAAGGUUGGGUUGUUGGUGCUGGAUCAUUAAGGUUGGGUCAUUAAGGUUGGGCUGUGGGUGCUGG
ensembl:lncRNA